rnacentral:pre_miRNA from 1 species
UUUAACACCGUUGACUUUUUUACACAUGUUUGACCGUUCGUCUUAUUUAAAAAAUUUAUGAAAUUAUUAAUUAUUUUUCUAUCAUUUGAUUCAUUGUUAAAUAAACUUCUAUACACACAUAUAGUUUUAUAUAUUUUAUAAAAAAUUUUAAAUAAGACGAACGGUCAAACGUGUGUUAAAAAAUCAAUGACGUCAAACAUU